rnacentral:rRNA from 2 species
UACGGAGGGUGCAAGCGUUAAUCGGAAUUACUGGGCGUAAAGCGCACGCAGGCGGUUUGUUAAGUCAGAUGUGAAAUCCCCGCGCUUAACGUGGGAACUGCAUUUGAAACUGGCAAGCUAGAGUCUUGUAGAGGGGGGUAGAAUUCCAGGUGUAGCGGUGAAAUGCGUAGAGAUCUGGAGGAAUACCGGUGGCGAAGGCGGCCCCCUGGACAAAGACUGACGCUCAGGUGCGAAAGCGUGGGGAGCAAACAGGAUUAGAUACCCUGGUAGUCCACGCUGUAAACGAUGUCGACUUGGAGGUUGUGCCCUUGAGGCGUGGCUUCCGGAGCUAACGCGUUAAGUCGACCGCCUGGGGAGUACGGCCGCAAGGUUA